GAUGAAGAACGUAGCGAAAUGCGAUAAGUAGUGUGAAUUGCAGAAUUCCGUGAAUCAUCGAAUCUUUGAACGCACAUUGCGCCUCCUUGUAGUCCGGGAGGCAUGCCUGUUCGAGCGUCACCAAAUCCAACUCAAGCGGUUUUGCGCUUGGUCGUGGCGGAAGAGUCGGUCUGGUUGCCGUCUCCCCUCCGAAAAUCAACGGCGGAAAGUCACUGGCAGUCAGCGUAGUAGUAUCGUUCGCCGAACAUCCAGUGGCAUUCCUGCCGACGUACCCCCACAAUUCUCGUGAUUGACCUCGGAUCAGGUAGGGAUACCCGCUGAACUUAAGCAUAUCAAUAAGCGGAGGA
rnacentral:misc_RNA from 1 species